UACGAAGGGGGCUAGCGUUUUUCGGAAUUACUGGGCGUAAAGCGCACGUAGGCGGACUGUUUAGUCGGGGGUGAAAGCCCAGGGCUCAACCCUGGAAUUGCCUUCGAUACUGGCAGUCUCGAGUCUGGGAGAGGUGAGUGGAAUUCCUAGUGUAGAGGUGAAAUUCGUAGAUAUUAGGAAGAACACCAGUGGCGAAGGCGGCUCACUGGUCCGUUUCUGACGCUGAGGUGCGAAAGCGUGGGGAGCAAACAGG
rnacentral:rRNA from 1 species